rnacentral:rRNA from 1 species
GACGAACGCUGGCGGCGUGCUUGACACAUGCAAGUCGAACGGUAAGGCCCUUCGGGGUACACGAGUGGCGAACGGGUGAGUAACACGUGGGUGAUCUGCCCUGCACUUCGGGAUAAGCCUGGGAAACUGGGUCUAAUACCGGAUAGGACUCCUGGCUUCAUGGUUGGGGGUGGGAAGCUUUUGCGGUGUGGGAUGGGCCCGCGGCCUAUCAGCUUGUUGGUGGGGUAAUGGCCUACCAAGGCGACGACGGGUAGCCGGCCUGAGAGGGUGACCGGUCACACUGGGACUGAGAUACGGCCCAGACUCCUACGGGAGGCAGCAGUGGGGAAUAUUGCACAAUGGGCGCAAGCCUGAUGCAGCGACGCCGCGUGAGGGAUGACGGCCUUCGGGUUGUAAACCUCUUUCAGCUAUGACGAAGCGCAAGUGACGGUAGUAGCAGAAGAAGGACCGGCCAACUACGUGCCAGCCGCCGCGGUAA